rnacentral:rRNA from 1 species
GACAGAGGGGGCAAGCGUUGCUCGGAAUUAUUGGGCGUAAAGAGCUCGUAGGCGGUCUGUCACGUCGGAUGUGAAAACUCGGGGCUCAACCCCGAGCCUGCAUUCGAUACGGGCAGACUAGAGUUCGGUAGGGGAGACUGGAAUUCCUGGUGUAGCGGUGAAAUGCGCAGAUAUCAGGAGGAACACCGGUGGCGAAGGCGGGUCUCUGGGCCGAUACUGACGCUGAGGAGCGAAAGCGUGGGGAGCGAACAGG